UUGACGGCCUAGAGGAGAAAUGUCAGUAAUAGACAAUUUUGCUAAAUGUUUUGAACAAUGGAGGUAGUCCGUGAAAUUGUGGAGGACAUUGUGAUGCUCAUGCAGCAAGUUGAUUAUAGUUCAUACCCUAUAGAUUCCUCUCACUCAGAAUCCAUUUAGUUUUGGACAGGUCCAAUGAGUUUGUGGCCUUGACAAAAAGCAAUUUUUUUAAUUUUUGAAAAUUGCCCAGAAUAUCCUUCUAUAGCUUUGGACAUGGGAAUGAAUUAAUAUACCAGUUCUGUCACACAGGUAUCUUGUUUCACAACACGUUGGCCUGGUCAGUAACGAUGCCACAAACCAUACAUGGCCUACAGAAAUCCUGCCUCGUUAUACCAUGUUCAUUCUACUACUCAUCCUGUCCACCUACGAAUCCAUAUCAGAUUGUGUGGUAUCAGUAUGUUGACCGUGGAUAUCCUGUAGUGUUUGACAGUUGGAACCCUGGUUCUGUGAUUGAUAGAUACAAAGGAAGAACCAGCUUAUAUAAGCCAACAUACAGGGGCUGCAGUCUGCUGAUUAAAGACCUUAGUCUUUCCCACAGCGGAGACAGAAUAUAUGCUUGGGUAGACCCGGAAAAUAUUGGAUGGAGCACUUACAAAUUCUAUGAUGUGUCUACUAUAAUUUAUGUUGAUUCAUCUGCAGAAAAGCCCAGUGUUCACAUUUCUGGAGGUGCUAAAAUUGGGGAUAGAAUUACAAUUAAGUGCACAACAUAUCACACCUGUCCUUAUGAACCACCCUCUUUCAGUCUGAGUGGGAUUGAGAAACAUUUUGGAAAAGACGACACAUUGUUAAACACAGACAUUGGUGAUGGCAAGUGGGAAAUCACACUGACACGUGAAGGAUUGUUCAGUCUGAAACACAAGAAAUUCAGUGCUCUGUUACACACAAGGGUGGACUCACUGCAUCUACUACAAAAAUACACACUGCACAGUGUACCAUUGAUCAACCCAAAAUUGCAGAUCCAAACACAGAGUUUCUGGAGGGUGUGCAACAAGACAUUGUUUGCUCUGUUACAUACGGGUGCUCAAGUUACCAACCUCAGAUUCUUUGGAAUGAUGAAAAUUUACAUGAAAGCAUAACUUUUAUAAGCACAAAAGGAAUAAAACAUGAAGCUAAAUCCACAUUAAAGUUUACAGCAAAGGCUAAUGAUAACGGCAAGACCAUUACCUGUGAAACAAGAUUUAAAGGAUCUUCUCAAAGAGCACAGAUGACUUUAAGAGUUAAGAGGUUAGUGGACUGGACUUUCACAAUCCCCAGUACAAUCUCUGGUAUCCGAGGUUCCUGUGUGGUCAUUCCCUGCAGUUACACACUCAAAAAUUCCCAUCGUAGUGACACCAAUGUCAAAUGGUAUCAACUCUCCACUUCAGGUUACCCUCUGGUGUAUGGCUAUUCAACACAAAAUAUCAUUGAUAAGUUUAAAGGAAAGACAAGUUUAUAUGGAUCUUCCAAUUACAAAAGCUGCAGCUUAAAGAUACAGCCACUUGAGAUGGAGCAUAAUGAGGAAAGACUGUUUCCUUGGAUGGACCCAAAUUCUAUUGAAACCUACAGCCAAAAGAUGUUAAGGAUGAAACUAUUUCCCUUGAGGUGACAGAUAUUGCUGAGAAACCACAGGCAGAACUUCUUGGGAUAGCUAUAGUUGGUGAACCAGUAACCUUGUCCUGCAGUGUGAUACACACCUGCCCUCCAUCACCUCCAACACUGAGCCUGAGUAUUUUACAUGGAGCUUUACGCUUUAGUAAUACACCUCUACACAAUGGGAAAUGGAAAGCAACCUUAGAGGUUACAUGGGUUGUUGAGGAAAAUGAUAAUUCUGUUACUUGUACUGUGAGUUAUGCAGGUGGACAGACAUCGAAGACUGAAACUAAUAUUAACCCUUCACGUUCCACUGAUCAAGCAAUGAUUACUCCUGAUCCAGACACAGACCUUGUUUGCUCUGUUACAUACACUUGCUCCAAAGAAUGAAUAUAUUUGGAGUGGUGAACAGCAACUUGGCAGCACAUUUUCUUUUAUGAACAUAGCAAGGAACAAAAAAAAAUAUUGGUCAUGGAAAUUUGAUUACCUGCCAAGAAAAAUUAAGGGAAUGUUCAAACUGUAGAAAUCACUUCAAGAGUUCAGAGUGAAAGGUGUUAAAGCCUCCUAGCUGCCUUUCUCUUUACUAUUUUCAUUCUUUAUAUGCAUGUGCAUCAUUUAGCACAUUCCCACGACUGCCAAAGGCUUAGAAUUUGCCAUCUCCUAUAUUCUUUAUCCUUUUUAUUGUGUUUUAAACAAAAAAAUGUCUUCACACUCAAUAAUUUUGUUUGCUGGUCAUAUAUAAUCUCAUAUUAGCAGUUAUAGCAGCUAAUCAGUAAGUAUAUAACAAUGUGUUAUUGUUUUAAACAGUUUGCUCAACGAAUUCUAUUCAAUUACAACGAAUUGAACAGCUGCUCAACUGUUUUGUUCAGAGUUUAAUGCUCUACUGAUCCUUGACGCUCACAGAUGGUCAGUGUUUUUGUCCUGGAAAUCUAUUCAUAGCAUUAUGAUGAUAAUAAUUCAGUUUUGAAAAAUUAAAUGAUGGAAGAGUUUGUAGAGAAUGAGUGAAAUACUGCUGUUUUCUUUUUAUAAGACUUAUUUGAAUCUUUUGCAGUUUUUCUGCAUGUCGUUCAUGUAGAAUAGUCUAAAAAAGACAGUGCAGUAGUUACUGAAGCAGGGGACAGGGAAAAUGUGAAAAGUAAGACUAAUAAUGUUAAAAUAAUAAUUUAUAAUAAUAAAAAAGAAUAAUGUAUUAAGACAUCAGUGCAUUGUUAAUUUCAUUUUCUAAAAUAUAUAUAAACUGAUUACAAACUAAAGUGUAGCUCAUUUAGCUCAUUUCUAUUUACUACAGCAUGUAGCUAUCCAACCAUCAGAACCUGACAUUGUAAACUUACAAUUUUUGCCACCACAUUUGUUAAAGAGGCUCCUUAUACAACAUGAUCUUUACAGUCAGAUGCACAGUCAAGGCACAGUUAGAAAAGUAGAAUGAAAAUAUAUUUUGGUAAAAUAUGUUCAGGUUUUCUUAAAGUAGAAAAUAUUACAUUCAGUCAAAGUACAUAAAAAUAAUAUAGUAUAUUUAGCCAGAAUUACAUGAAGUGGAUAUUAAACAUUACAUUAAAAUGCAUACUGUACUAGAAGCUUUAUAUGCAUGCAUAUAUUGUACAUAAAUGCUCUCUAAAAACCCUGAAUCCUAGAUUUUGACUUCAGAGUAGUCUGUUUGGUCUUCUUCCUCUAUACUUAAUGGAUCCAUCUUUGGAUUGUUAUGUGUUGUUACGGUAAAGGUCACUUUAGUGUAAUCCACCUCUUCUUCUGACUCACUGGUGUCUGAGUCCCAGUUUGGAAAUGGCUGCUUUGUUUUGUAAACACCAGACACAUUUUCAUAAUCACUAUGGCCUUUUCCUUGUUCCUGCAAGAAAAGGAGGAUUAAGUAAAGUUACAAAUCCUACAAAUAUAAUAAAUCUUACAAAUCCAA